UGUUCUGUGGCUUAAUUGGUUAUAGCGCCGGACUAGCGAUACAGAGUCGUGGGCUCGAAUCCCAUCAAAAGAA
rfam:Aedes albopictus isolate Foshan contig66562, whole genome shotgun sequence.